AUGAGGAGAUUCGGAACUUGCUGGCCUUUCCCGACGGAAUUGACGAGUCUGAGUACGACGAGAUGGUCAAGUCUGCCUGGGCCAAGCAACAGAAAGGUUGUGAAGCAUCAAACAGAACAUAUUUGUAGUUCAACGAGUGGAAAAGUGACUAGAAUGACAAGUCAAUCUUGGGUGGCUGACAAGGCAGCAACUAUGCUUAAGAAAGAUCCAACCAUUGGUGCUGUGAAGAUACUUAAAGAGUUACAGGAAGAGCAUCAUGUCACACUUGACUAUAACACAGUGUGGAAAGGCAAACAAAAGGCAACAACCAGCUUGUAUGGGAGUUGGGAAGAAAGUUUCAGGAUGUUGUACAACUACAAGGCCGAGAUAGAAUUGAGGUCUCCAGGGAGUAUUGUAGAGAUUGAUACAACCACAAGUGAAGGUGAAGUACAUUUCAGCAAGCUAUUUAUUGCUUUCAAGCCAUGCAUAGAUGGGUUUCCGAAUGGAUGUAGGCCAUAUAUCAGCAUAGACUCAACUCACUUAAAUGGCAAGUGGAAAGGUCAGCUAGCUGUAGUCACUGCUUUGGACGGUGACAAUUGGAUGUUCCCGGUGGCGUAUGGCUUUAUUGAGUCUGAAAAUGGAGAAAAUUGGGCUUGGUUCAUGAAUCAAGUGAAGAAGGCAAUAGGGGACCCUCCAGUACUGGCUGUUUGUACGGAUGCUUGCAAGGGUCUUGAAAAUGCUGUUAAAAAGGUUUUCCCUCAAGCUGAGCAGCGUGAGUGCUUUAGGCAUAUGUGGCAUAAUUUUCAGAAAUAUUUUCAUGGUGAUGUGUUUGGACGGUUGUGGCCUGCUGCUAGGGCAUAUAGGGCGGAAGAAUAUCAACAUCACAUGACAAAGGUGUUUGAGGCAUCUGAGAAAGCGUAUCCUUACCUUAGGGAUUACCAUAAUCUGUUAUGGAUGAGGUGCAUGUUCAAUCCUGACAUCAAGUGUGACUACAUAAAUAACAAUCUUGCUGAGUGCUUUAAUUCUUGGGUGCGAGAAAUCAAGGACUUGCCGAUUGUUCAGCUAGCUGAUAAGAUUAGAGAGAUGAUUAUGGACCUAUUUAGAAAGAGGAGAAUGAUUGGAGAGAAAUUGGUAGGGAAAAUACUGCCAUUUGUCAUACACCAAUUAAAUGCAAAGACUCGAGGACUAGGACAUCUCAAGGCUAAAACAUCAGCUGAUUGGAGUGGAGAAGUGAAAAAUGAUAACAAAGGGGAUGAAAGACAUGUCGUCAAAACACUCACACAUGAGUGUACAUGUCUGCAAUGGCAGCACACAGGCAAGCCUUGUGACCAUGCACUAGCCUUCAUAAAUGUUUUGCAAGCUCGCAACUUUGUGAACAUGGAGGAUUAUGUGCACGGGUACUACUCAGUUAGCAGAUUCAGGGCAGCAUAUGAAGGUGUAAUUGAGCCCCUUACGGACAAGAAUCAGUGGCCACAUGUUGAUACAGGCUUUGUGUUGCGUCCACCAAUUCCAAAAGGCAAGAAAAAAGGUGCUGGAAGAACAAGAAAACAGAGGAUGAAGAGUUGGUGGGAAGGUUGA
rnacentral:rRNA from 1 species